UUUCAUGUUGACUGAGAUCCUGAGUACUUAGAUGACUGAUGCAUUGAUUGAGUGCCUGAUUGAUUGCAUGAUUGAUUGCUUGUUAAAAUGAUUGAUUGCAUGAUUGAUUAAUUGAUAUAAUAUUAACCAGCCGAUUGGCUGAUUGAAUGAUUGAUGUUUGAUCAAUUAAUAGAUUAACUGAUUUAUUGAUUGAUUAGUUGAUUGGCUGAUUGGUUAAUUGAUAGAUCAGUCAAUCAAUCGAUUGAUUGAUUACUAGAUUAAUUGAUUUAUUGAAUGAGUGAAUGAUUUUGAACAGAAUGCUGAUAGGAUGAUUCAAGGACUUCUUCCAGAGAAGUCUAUAGGGGCCAGCAUUGAGCUUACUGCUUAUCUCAGAGAUGGUUUUGGAAAUAAAACAAGAAUAGACUAUGGAACAGGUCAUGAGGCUUGUUUUAUUGCAUUUCUAUGCUGUCUGUUCAAACUCAGAGUGCUGGACCAAAAUGACUGUGUUUCAAUAGUGUUCAAGGUGUUUCAAAGGUAAUUUGAUACUUUUUCAAGUGAUGAAUGGACAUACUGUACAUGACUUGUACAGAAUUUGGCAGGUGGGCAGAUUCUUUAAAAAUGAUAGUCUGGUUAAAAGUUGUGGUUUUUCAUUGUUGUAAAUACAUGUACACUAUUAGUAUUACCUCUAAGAUUUGUCUUGUUGUAGUCACUUCUUAUUUUGAUUGUGAGGAUUUGGUUGUGUACUGUUAGUAUAUUGGCAAUAAGGUUGACUGGUCACUCAUACCUUGUGAAGCUUUAUGCUUAACUGUGAUGGGCUGAUACUCAGUAGCUGUGCUACAUGUAUGUACACUUUGAUGAUGUGUCAGUAUCCAUGGGUCAGGGACUUCUAUUUCAUUGUGUAGACAAGAAGGCAAGAGAUAGAAAAAAUUCAAUAUAU